rnacentral:rRNA from 1 species
UACAGAGGGGGCGAGCGUUGUUCGGAAUUACUGGGCGUAAAGGGCGCGUAGGCGGCCUUCUAAGUCGGACGUGAAAUCCCUCGGCUCAACCGGGGAACUGCGUCCGAUACUGGAUGGCUUGAAUUCGGGAGAGGGAUGCGGAAUUCCAGGUGUAGCGGUGAAAUGCGCAGAUAUCAGGAAGAACACCCGUGGCGAAGGCGGCUCUCUGGAACGCAACUGACGCUGAGACGCGAAAGCGUGGGGAGCAAACAGG